rnacentral:lncRNA from 1 species
GUCCCCUGUGCCCUCCCCACCUGGAGAGCCCCACACCCGGCGGUAAUUGCUCUCCAGCUCUUUCUGCCGCUGGCGUUCCUUCUGGGCCUCUUCAGCUCCCGGCACCAAGAUAUUGAAGAAGAUCUCCUUGAGGUUUCUCGUGUCCUCAUCAGUCAGCCAACGUGCACCCUCUUCAGUCCCUUCAGCCCAUGGGCGGACAAUUUUGAUCUCAAUUUUCCCUGGAAAGGAGCAGUAUGCAGUGAGAGGAGAGGAUGGUUGGGAGCCUCAGGGCAGGCCCCCUGCCCCACUGGUCCCAGCCCCUCCACUUCCGGCAGCUUGCCCUUCCGACAGCACUGGGUCCAGCCGCCCUCCAGGGCCCACCUGCAGCUGUGAGUCCCUCCCUCUCCAGCAGCUCCUUCACCAGCCCCUCGAUUUGUUUCAGCUGUGGGUUUUCCCGUUUCAUCUCGAGGACAGUCAGAUCCUGAUUAGGGCCUCCGAGACGGAGCUUGGUGACCCGGACCCGGACUCUGUGCUCAGGAUCCUCCUCUUAGAGGGGGAGACACACAGGGAAACACAAAGCAGAGGCGUGACUCCAGGGUUAGGGGUGUGGGGGUCAUCUCCCCCUAAAACAUCAGUUGGCUUUGGCAGCUCUUCCAUCUCAACAUGUAUAUGAGCCAGGGCUCAAAAAAAUGUGUGCCCCGCCCCUCCCAGUUCAGCCUGUAGAGCUCCCUCCACCAAUUGCAGCCUUCCAUCUUCCCGCCCUACCCAAUAAUUCUGCCCGUCACCUAUAGGAAAACAAAUGUUUUCUAAAGCCAAAAUCAGGCCACCUGCACCAACAAAGUUCUGUUUGAAGAAGCAGGUUGGAAAAGUGUGGUCUCCUCCUCCAUAUGUUGGGACUUUAAAGACAUUUCAAUGUUUAUAGAGAGAGUGGGAAUGGAAGGUUUGAAACUGGAACAUUCCAUUUAGAAUAUCUGAUGUCCACACCCAUAGGACACUAUGAAAUGGACACAAGGGGAUACAAGAAGAAGAAAUAAUUUAAAGUCUAUCCAAGCUAUUGGCUCAUGUGCAGCUGGGCUCUCCUAUUCAUGCCCUGACAGCUGGGGCCUCUCUUGGUGCAAAGUCCUAAAGUGGUUUUCAGCAUAUAGACUCACAAGCAUUCAAUUACUAGCUACUGAUCAUCCAUUGUGUGCCAGGCAGAGUGCUAGGCACUGGGUGUACAGGAGCAAACCAGAAAACCAGCAGAUAUGCUCUAAAAGCUGCUUCCCAGAGGGAUGAAUAGGAGGUAAACACGCAAAGGGAUGAUGGUGUUGGGAAGCAGGCGCAAGUGAGGACAGUGUUCCAGAAAGUGGGGAGAGAAUGAGCACCCUCAGAAGGGAAGGAACAGGGUCCCCUCUGGGAACAGAACCAGCUGAGGGAUGAAAACAACAGACUGGGCUACUCUUUCUUGUCUGACUGCUCUCACCUGUAGGUUGGGGUGAUGGGGGAGGCUUUUUGGGGACAACCCUCUUUUUCUUGUGCUUCUUCACCAGCUCUGGACUCUGUUUUUCCUCCAGUCUUUUGAUGAGUUUGUUGAGAGUGGAUGUGAGAGCCAGCAUUGCCCGAUCCCGCUCUGACUCCUUCUUCAGCCCAUCUGGGUCCAGCUCUUUCUCUGUCUGGAAUACCCAAGAGAAGAGAGUGAGUCAAGGGUCUGGGGUGUGGAGGCAGCCAGCGGGCUGGGCUCUGUAGGAGAGUCUGAUAUUUUGAAAUGGAGUUUUGCUUAUCACCCAGGCUGGAGUACAGUGG